rnacentral:misc_RNA from 1 species
CCAAUAGCGUAUAUUAAAGUUGUUGCAGUUAAAAAGCUCGUAGUUGAAUUUCGGGAUUGGCGCAUCGGUCGUGCCUUACGGGGUAUGAACUGGUGCAGUCAAUUUCUCACCUUCUGGAGAACCGCGAUGUCCUUAAUUGGGUGCCGCGGGGAACCAGGACCUUUACUUUGAAAAAAUUAGAGUGUUUAAAGCAGGCAUUUUUGCUUGAAUACAUUAGCAUGGAAUAAUAAAAUAGGACGGCAUGGUUCUAUUUUGUUGGUUUCUAUGACCACCGUAAUGAUUAAUAGGGAUAGUUGGGGGAAUUAGUAUUCAAUUGUCAGAGGUGAAAUGCUUGGAUUUAUUGAAGACUAACUACUGCGAAAGCAUUGGCCAAGGAUGUUUUCAUUAAUCAAGAACGAAAGUUAGGGGAUCGAAGACGAUCAGAUACCGUCGUAGUCUUAACCAUAAACUAUGCCGACUAGGGAUCGGAUGAUGUUAAUUUUUUAAUGACUCAUUCGGCGCCUUACG